CCCUUAGAUGUUCUGGGCCGCACGCGCGCUACACUGACGAAUGCAACGAGCUUAUAACCUUGGCCGAAAGGUCUGGGUAAUCUCCAAAUUUCGUCGUGAUGGGGAUAGAUUAUUGCAAUUAUUAAUCUUCAACGAGGAAUGCCUAGUAAGCGUGAUUCAUCAAAUCGCGUUGAUUACGUCCCUGCCCUUUGUACACACCGCCCGUCGCUCCUACCGAUUGAGUGUGUUGGUGAGGAGUUCGGAUUGGCAGCAGGUGGUGGUUCGCCACCGCCUAUUGCUGAGAAGUUCUCCAAACCGCCCCACUUAGAGGAAGGAGAAGUCGUAACA
rnacentral:rRNA from 1 species